GAACCAAUCAAAUGAGCCACAAACAAUUGUUUGAGUAAAUAAUUGAAGUGGUAAGAUGGCAUCAAAUAAAGAAGAGGUGAAGCUUUUUGGAGUGGAGGAAAGUCCAUUUGUGAGCAGGGUUAAGAUUGCUCUAAAGUUGAAGGGAGUUGAAUACAAAUAUGAGUUAGAAAAAGUGGGGAAUUUUAGUGACACACUCAUCAAAUACAACUUUGUUUAUAAAAAAGUUCCUGUAUUAGUUCAUAAUGAAAAAUCUAUUUCAGAAUCUCGUGUGAUCCUUGAGUAUAUUGAUGAGACUUGGAAACAAAAUUCAAUAUUGCCUUCUGAUCCUUACAAAAAAACUUUGGCUCGUUUUUGGUCCCAUUUCAUAGAUGACAAGUGUUUGAGUGCUAUGCUGAAAACUGCUUAAACUAAUGAUGAGCAUGAACGUGAGACGAGUAUUGAAGAAACAAAAGUGGCUAUUCAAAUUCUUGAGAAUGAGCUGAAUGACAAAUUCUUUGGUGGGGAAGAUAUUGGUUUUCUUGACAUUAAUGCUGUCUUAAUAGCUUAUUGGCUCCCUAUUAUAUAUGAAGCAAUAGGAUUGAAAUUGUUCACCAAUGACAAAUUUCCCAAACUUUAUAAAUGGAGCCAAGACUUCAAUAAUCAUCCAAUUGUCAAGGAAACACUUCCUCCUAGAGAUACUCUUUUGGCCUUCUACAAAGCUCAUUAUGAAAAUCUAAAGAAUUGAAGUGCUACAAUGGCAUCAAAUAAAGAAGAGGUGAAGCUUUUUGGAAUGAUGUUAAGUCCAUUUGUUACUAGGGUAGAGAUUGGUCUAAAAUUGAAGGGAGUUGGAUACAAAUAUGAGUUAGAAAAAAUGGGGAAUUUAAGUGAAGCACUCAUCAAUUACAAUCCUGUUUAUAAGAAAGUUCCUGUAUUAGUUCAUAACGAAAAGCCCGUUUCAGAAUCACUUAUAAUUCUUGAAUAUAUUGAUGAGACUUGGAAACAAAAUCCUAUCUUGCCUUCUGAUCCUUACAAGAAAGCAUUGGCUCAUUUCUGGUCCAAGUUCAUAGAUGACAAGUUUUUGAGUGCUAUAAAAAAAGCAAUUUUCACUAUUGAUGAGAAAGAACGUGAGAAUGGUAUUGAGGAAACAGAAGUGGCUCUUCAAUUUCUUGAGAAUGAGAUUAAGGACAAAUUCUUUGGUGGAGAAGAUAUUGGCUUUGUUGACAUUUCUGCUGUCUUAAUAGCUUAUUGGCUCCCUAUAGUACAAGAAGUAGUAGGACUAAAUUUGUUCACUCAUGAGAAAUUUCCCAAGCUUUAUAAAUGGAGUCAAGACUUCACCAACCACCCAAUUGUUAAGGAAACUUUGCCUUCUAGAGAAACAUUAUUGCCCUACUUCAAAGCUCGUUAUGAAACUUUUCUUGCUUCAAAAUAGAUCAAUUCAAAUGUGAUACGUAUUUGGAGGGUUGAGGAGAAUUAUCUAAACUACUUGUUUUGUCAUUUAGUUGCUUUUGUAUGUGCAACCUAGGAUUUCUCCUUGUUUAAAAAAUUCUAGGAAUUUGUACUCGUUUAAUGUACUAUUUUAUUUAAUAAAGAAAAUCCUUAUUCCCAAAAAAA